rnacentral:lncRNA from 1 species
CCAUUCACUGCCAUUGUCCAUGUCUUCUGAGAGGUGUGAGGUGAGACUCACCUGACAGCUGAGAGCCUGGCCGGGAGAUCCACGCUGCAGAGGCCAAUGCUGGACUUCCCCUCCCCUCUUCAACCAGGUUUCUAACAGGCAGUUGCCCUGGGCCACCUGGUGGCCUGAAAUAACUUGACCGGGAACUAAAAGGACUCACGAAGCAUUUAACCAAGACUCUACAUGUUGACUUUUCAGCCAAGGACACUUCAGAGCGACUGGCUGCAGUUCUCCAAAGGAAGCUGCUGC